rnacentral:rRNA from 1 species
GAUCAUGGCUUAGGAUGAACGCUGGCGGCAUGCCUAAUACAUGCAAGUCGAACGAGAGGAAGGAAAGCUUGCUUUCCUGAAUCUAGUGGCGAACGGGUGAGUAACACGUAGGUAACCUGCCCAUGUGCCCGGGAUAACUUCUGGAAACGGAUGCUAAAACCGGAUAGGUAGCAGACAAGCAUUUGACUGCUAUUAAAGUGGCCUUGGCCAUGAACAUGGAUGGACCUGCGGUGCA